AGAGUUUGAUCAUGGCUCAGGAUGAACGCUGGCGGCGUGCUUAACACAUGCAAGUCGAGCGAAGCGUAUUAGCGGAAGUUUUCGGAUGGAAGCGGAUAUGACUUAGCGGCGGACGGGUGAGUAACGCGUGGAUAACCUGCCUCAUACAGGGGGAUAACAGUUAGAAAUGACUGCUAAUACCGCAUAAGCGCACAGGACCGCAUGGUCCGGUGUGAAAAACUCCGGUGGUAUGGGAUGGAUCCGCGUCUGAUUAGCUGGUUGGUGAGGUAACGGCCCACCAAGGCGACGAUCAGUAGCCGACCUGAGAGGGUGGCCGGCCACAUUGGGACUGAGACACGGCCCAAACUCCUACGGGAGGCAGCAGUGGGGAAUAUUGCACAAUGGGGGGAACCCUGAUGCCGCAACGCCGCGUGAGUGAA
rnacentral:rRNA from 1 species